rnacentral:rRNA from 1 species
UACGGAGGGUGCAAGCGUUAUCCGGAUUCACUGGGUUUAAAGGGGGCGUAGGUGGGUUGAUAAGUCAGUGGUGAAAUCCCCGAGCUUAACUUGGGAACUGCCAUUGAUACUAUUGAUCUUGAAUACCGUGGAGGUCAGCGGAAUAUGUCAUGUAGCGGUGAAAUGCUUAGAUAUGACAUAGAACACCAAUUGCGAAGGCAGCUGGCUACGCGAAUAUUGACACUGAUGCACGAAAGCGUGGGGAUCAAACAGG